GACGAACGCUGGCGGCGUGCCUAAUACAUGCAAGUCGAACGCUUUUUCUUUCACCGGAGCUUGCUCCACCGAAAGAAAAAGAGUGGCGAACGGGUGAGUAACACGUGGGUAACCUGCCCAUCAGAAGGGGAUAACACUUGGAAACAGGUGCUAAUACCGUAUAACACUAUUUUCCGCAUGGAAGAAAGUUGAAAGGCGCUUUUGCGUCACUGAUGGAUGGACCCGCGGUGCAUUAGCUAGUUGGUGAGGUAACGGCUCACCAAGGCAACGAUGCAUAGACGACCUGAGAGGGUGAUCGGCCACACUGGAACUGAGACACGGCCCAGACUCCUACGGGAGGCAGCAGUAGGGAAUCUUCGGCAAUGGACGGAAGUCUGACCGAGCAACGCCGCGUGAGUGAAGAAGGUUUUCGGAUCGUAAAACUCUGUUGUUAGAGAAGAACAAGGAUGAGAGUAAAAUGUUCAUCCCUUGACGGUAUCUAACCAGAAAGCCACGGCUAACUACGUGCCAGCAGCCGCGGUAA
rnacentral:rRNA from 1 species